AAGGUUAAAGAAGAAAUUGUACAAUUCAAAGAUACUUCAGAUAUAUUAUAAAAAGAAAGUUCAAUGUUUUCAAGAGGAGCUAAAGAAAAGUCGACUUUUAAAUGAAAAAUUACAAGCUCGCCUAAAAAAAUAUGAUGAUAAAAUGAUCAGAUGAUGAAGUGACCAGUGGAUGAAAUGACCGGGAACCACUUUCAGAGCUGGUUGUAAAUAUGAGGUGAUAUUUGGAACUUUGUUUAAUGAUGACAAAUGUGCAACUA